rnacentral:rRNA from 1 species
GACGAACGCUGGCGGCGUGCUUAACACAUGCAAGUCGAACGGAAAGGCCCUGCUUUUGUGGGGUGCUCGAGUGGCGAACGGGUGAGUAACACGUGAGUAACCUGCCCUUGACUUUGGGAUAACUUCAGGAAACUGGGGCUAAUACCGGAUAGGAGCUCCUGCUGCAUGGUGGGGGUUGGAAAGUUUCGGCGGUUGGGGAUGGACUCGCGGCUUAUCAGCUUGUUGGUGGGGUAGUUGCUUACCAAGGCUUUGACGGGUAGCCGGCCUGAGAGGGUGACCGGCCACAUUGGGACUGAGAUACGGCCCAGACGCCUACGGGAGGCAGCAGUGGGGAAUAUUGCACAAUGGGCGGAAGCCUGAUGCAGCAACGCCGCGUGCGGGAUGACGGCCUUCGGGUUGUAAACCGAUUUCGCCUGUGACGAAGAGUGAGUGACGGUAAUGGGUAAAGAAGCACCGGCUAACUACGUG